UAUUUUUAGUGAGAAAUGCUAAUUAGUCAUAAAGCAACAGAGCAACUUAGUUUUUCCCCUUUUACAGACUAAGGAUACCUUGCGCCUCACAUAAAUUAAUCAGAAGCAGGUUGUUUCAUCAUCCUGAAAGUAACACAUGGACAACAUGGAGGUGUACCAGGCAGAGAAACACGCCGAGGACCUCUAGUGGACAGGUGAGGGAAAAGUGGGCAAGAGAGCUGAAGGCACUGCAACUGAAAGACAACUGAGCAACAGAUGUCCCUUUUCCUGGAAAUGUCAGACGAAGAACAACAAGCAGAAGAAGCCACAGAAAAUGAGAUAAUCCAAGGAAAACCACCAUCGAUAAGGCAAAAGACAAAGAAUCAAAAUGAUGGACUCAUCUUCUCCCACUAAAGAAGAACUGUCUAUGUAUAUGAUGAUGCUGCAUGUGAACUGGUUCACCCAUAGCGAUCUCCUGCUAUUCAAACAAUGGACUGAAUUUAAAGAAUAAUGCUGACCUCAGAGUUCUGAAGCAGAGAUGAUUUUUGAGACACAGCAAGCUCAAAUAGUCGAUUUGUGUCUGGACUUUUAUUUAAAUGACUGUGGAGACGUCUUCAGCACUAAGAACACUUAAGCUGCUUUUCCUGAUACACAG